AAACAAAGUACAGGAACAAUGCACGGUAAAUUUGAGUGAUGAAAGGGGGGAAAAGACAAGAGAGGGAGUCUGAGAAGGGCACGUUAAUGAGGCAUGAACCAAAAGGAGGCAUUUUGCCCUCAUUCCUGGGGCUUACAUGUCUUGUGCCACAGAGUUCAGGUGGAGGCUAGCUGUAUGACUGAUUGUAUUCGGUGUGAAUAGGGGGGGCAGAAGAUGGUACAGAGAAAGAAACACAGAGAAAGAAUCAGGGCAGAGAACAAAGAAGGACUUGGAUUGUAGGUAAAAUAUAGAAAGAAAGGAAAAAAAGUUGCUGAGGGAAGAGUGAACCGUGGAUAUCCUUGGCAAACACACAAAGGUAGUUGACACUUUGGCACAGGAUCAUCGUAAUCCAGAAUACAGUUUUCAUCUAACUAUUUGCUUGGAAGAGCAGUUAUCAUCCCAUCAGAGACCUUAACAACUCCCUGUUCCAUUCUCCCACGCAUCAGCCAUGGUAUCAGCAGGGCUUUUACAUGAAAAUGGUAACAAUGAAGAAAUCGCUCCUGGGCAAGGCAGUCUUCUUUGCAUCUUCUGUCUUCCCCCCCCCCCUUCUGCUUACCACAAUAGUUUUGGUCGAUUUGUUUUGUGGUUUGAAGAGUGGGGGAUUAUUUUGGGAAGAUGGCCCAUCAGUAUUGUGUUGGCCUUGUAUGGGGAAAAGUUCUGUUCUGAGGAAGGACACUGUUGAGGUGUUCCCUAAAAAUGUGCUGAUGGGAUUGCUGUGAUGUUCUCUGGAUAUGCAUUCCAUGGCAAGUCUUCCAUAGGUGAAAAUCCUUUGUUCCCAUUUUUCAUGUGAUUUAUUUGCAUUCUUGUGACUUAUUUUGGUCUGAAGGACUGCAGGUGCCUUGCACGUUCAUAGAUCGAAUGGUGAUUUGGGGCAGAGUGGAAUGAACUUUUGUAGAGUAGGUAUGGGCACUCAGGCAUGGGCAGGAUGGUUCUGUUCCCAAUAACAGUGUUAAAACCUGUUCUCUUUAUGGGUACAGUUCCUGAGCUACCAUUAACAUUCAGGUGAUGAUUUUGUAAUUUUGCGUAGAGAUCCUUUGGUGGAAAAUGCUGGUACUUAUUUAUUAUGCAUAUGAAAAAUAGAGCACAAAAGGAAUAAGGUGCUUAUAGGACCCUGCUGUAGAUCUGCCAGGCUAAUAUUACAGCUGCCUUUGCAGGAAUGCUAUCUUGGUGUAUUAUCUGUCAGCACCACACAAACAAAACAUUAUCACAUGGGUACAAAAGUUUGCUUUGUAAGCAGGUUAAUCAUCAUGAAAUCAUCCAUAUACGAAGUUUUAUGUGUCCUUAAUUCUUUCUUCAAGCGUUCAUACGUGUAUGAAUGUCUAUGUAUCUUUGCCCUUGUGCCAGUCAUUUUGAGCACAAACACUGCUGGUAGCAGCACCAGUUGUAUCUCAAGAGGCCAAUACUGUAAUUAGUGAGAUUUGAGGCCUAAAUACUGAGGCAAAUUUAAGUUUCUAAUAUCAGAAAUGAAGAUCCAGUCUUUGUUCAAAAAGGGGAUGAGGGGUGGCAGUAGUUUAAAGCUUCUCAGUCUGACACUGGAAAGGAAUUCACAAUGUAUUUUUAGAGUGUUAUAAAAAUCUCUUACAUAAUGCUCAUUAAUUCUUAGGUUUUAGGGAAGAGCACUGGGCUUUGUGUAUAAUAGUGUUGACCGGCUAAGCCACUGAAAGGGGCUGGUUUGGGCUGGUUUGUUGUUUUGUUUUUUUUCUUUUAACUUCUUGGAUACAAAAAGCUGCAAAUACUCAAUUAUUACCGGGUUUUGCUUUUGUUUGGGCGUGCAUGAAUAUUUUUCUGGAAACUCUGUCUUAUUUUUGGAAGUCUUUAUCGUUUUAAAACAUAUGUUAUAUCACCCUGUCUGAGAUACAGGAUAGCUACAAACUGGGUGGGGUUUUCUUUUUUUCCCCUCCCUCUUAACUGCAGCUAGUUACGUUAUGGAUUAACAUUCAGGAAUAUCUGCAGUGAAACAUUACUUGUGUAGCUGUGUAAGACUUACUUAAGCAAUUUAACUUAUAUUACAGAAUCAUGACUUUCCUUGUAGUAAUGCAUGCAAUUACUAUAUAGUUCUGCCCGUCCUGUUGAUUUUCAAAAUCAUCAAUUAGGCUUAACUGCCUGGUCCUCACAGCUCUUAACAAAGGGCUAUUCAGGAAAUUAAGUCGGUUAAAUGAUACUCCCUAAUUUAAUUCUAGUUAUAUAUAGUUAUCGUUGUGUAGCUGUAAGGAUUAUUUUUUUUUUUUUUAACACGAUAUCAUGGGAAAGAGAUGCUUUUGUUUGGUCUUUUUCAACAGACACGUGACCAAGGCAGCUUUGAAGCCUUUCUGAAGAGUCCUUGCUUCUGUAGGAUGUUAAAUGUGGAGUUUCCAGCUAUGCACUUCAUUCUACAGACUUAGUCACUCUUAUGCCAUACCAGUAAGUAAGAAUUGCUCAGAUGAGUGCAGUGAGUCCUAAAUUGUUAUUGGAGAAUCUACAUGGGUCACAAGUGCAAAACAAAAGCUUCAUUUAUACUUUCUUUUCCAGUUGGGAGAAAAUGAAAGUAAUUACAGCUCAAUGGCAGGGAGGGAGGAUCCUUAUAGGUCCCUUCUGAUUUGAGAUAUCCUAUGAAUGCUAUGGUUCUGAGGCUCAAAAAAAGGAUUAUUAAUAACCUGUUUGUCACCCAGGUCUCCUGCCAGCAAGGGCUCUCUCUUUCCCUCUGUGGUGCUUUGUUUCUGCAGUUUUCCUGGAAGGAGGCUCUGACACCACAGAGAGCCAGCCCUGCUCUGCAGUGUUUGGUUGCCUGCAUUUGCUAAAGGACACUUGUCCUGUGAGAUGCAAAGCAGCUCACUGAAGGGAGCUGGGGAGACCUUGCAGCAGGGAGCUUCAGGAUAGGGAAGAGGAACUGCUGUUCUCUGAAGCCACCUGGAAGAAUCUGGAAUCUGCUGCAGUUCCUGCAGUAGCAGAGUCUGUCCUUGCUUUCUCACUGCCAUUCUCCCAUGAAACCUAUGUUACAGCCCUAGUUCCCACUUGCACUUUCCUUUUUUUCCAGUGAGAACCACAGUUUCCUUCUGUCUGUGGAGAGGAAGCAAGGAUGCUUUGCAGCCUCUUGUCACCCAUUUAUUUCAUCCACGAAGGAAACAGGGAGAAGCGGAAGAUACUCAGUUUAGAAAUAAUACUUGGUGAUGAAUUCUGCUGUGAUGGAAGUUACAAAAUAAGCCAUGCUAUACCCUAGGGGCAGAUGUAUUUUCAGAAAGUCACCUCCUUAUUUGUGAGAAGCACCUGCCAAUUAAUAUGCUUAAAAAUAUCACUGGAGUUAUGUACUCCAGGAAAGCACCAGGAGCUGGUAAGCGCCUACCCUUUCUGUAGUGUUGCAACUUCAGUAAAACCAAGUACAUUCAAGACUGAUGACUUGAUUCUCUCAUCAGAAAGAUAUGCGAGUAAGAAUUGUUGUCUAUCUUGUAAAAACAGCGCUACACUUGUACAUGCAUGUGUAGAGCUGUUAAAGAUUUUACAAGAUACAUGGGAAUGUGUGCCUGCUUAUCUAAGGAAAGAAGUGAGCUCAACAUUAACAACAAAAAAAUCCACCCUCUCGCUGAGACCUUGCCUGCCAAGUUUUAGCUGUGUGUUCUCUGUUUGCGGCACAUACUCCCACAUCCUGCAGUGAGAGGUGAACACACUCUUUAAUGUAGAGUGAAGAUUUAGGAGCAAAUUCUACUUUCAUUUACAUCAUUAAAAUCCUAAUGAGGCUGUAAAUCAGGGUAAGAAUAUGGCUGAGGUCGAUAGGGUUGGAUGGAUUUAAAUGACUGUAGAAUUUGUCCAUUUUAGGAGGAAAUAUAAACCAGACUAGCCAGAGAAGAGCUCUGAAACAAAUACAAGUGCUGAGAGAAAAAAAUUUCACAUUCUGAACAGGAUCUUUCAGUAAGAACAGUCAAGUGAAUUUCACACCUCAUACAAUUGCAAAGGAAUUACAGCCACAUUGACAACACUUAACUCAGUUUGCUUCCAGGGUAAUGUAUUGCUGGUAAGAAGUAAAAUUUACAAUCGAUAAAACGUAUCUUUGAAAACGAAAUACAGCAGCAUAAGGAAAUAUUAUCUGUAUUUCAGUUCAUACGUAUGAGAAAACAGAUGACAAUCCCCAAUGUAGUAUCUAGUAGCCGUAGACAAAGGAGACAGAAUUGCUUUGUGCAUGGCUCAGUGUAUUGCGCAGGGAUCAAACGUGAAUAUGUGCACAGAUCAAAGGGGGCACAAUGCAAGUCAUAAUCUAUCCAACACUCACCUCAGUUUACACAAAGAUCCCCCUGACCUGGUGCAUACUUAUCUGAAGCACUCCACUUGCCAGCUGUAAGGAGAAAAGCACCAUAAGUUAAAAACAUCAAAGUAUGCUUCUGCGGUGCCCCACAUUACAGAGCCUACUGUGGAAACGGCACAGGCCUCCUCGUGGAGCCUGUUCAGCUUACGGAGAAGGAGCAUGCACUCUCCAGCAGGAGAGGAGGAAGGAGCCCCGAGGAAAAAAAAAGGCAGGAAUGUUAUAUAUUAAAAACCUAAGUGAGGUAACCUGCAGAAACUGCUCAGGUAGCUUCUUUCACUCAAUCUGCUCAUCUAUCAAAAUUCCUUUAAGAUCUUGUAGAAGUGACACACAAUUGUACUUCUUGCACAAACAGCAGCAAAAAGGUCUGAGGAUGAGUAACACACAUGAAACAGCACUUUCACAAGCAGUGCAAUUACACUCUGGUCUUGUCCUUCACAGAUUACGCCUCUUUGCAACUGCAAGAAGCAGUAGGAACCCUGCGUAUCCUUGGGAAUUAAUUUUUAUAUUUGGAAGGUCUAAACCAUCACAGUUUCAGUUUUCAGCUGAAAAUGGGGAAAGAAUUCCUAAGGUUCAGCUGUUUAAAAAACCUUCAAUAAAACUGUCAAGAAGAAAAAGUUUUACUUGUUCCCACAGGAUUCAUUUCCCAAAUAAACGCAACAUGGCAUUUGAAUGUGUUUAUAUUGUGACUUCAUGAGUUUUUGUUAUAUAGUUGAAAUAUAAUAGUAUUCAAUAACAGCUGAUGGCAGAGUUCUUUUUAAAAUGGAUAAUACUGACAGCAGUCAGACAUAUUACAUGCUUAAUUUGAAUAAGUUUAUGAUUCACUUGCAUUACAGAAAUUGUAUUUUGCUGUCAUUAUAAAAAUUACAUUAUUGAAGUACUGUAUGAUUUUAAUACCAAAUUAUCGUUUCACAGGAAGAAAAAAAAAUAAAUCUGUGUGGUCAAUUAUACUGUAUUAAAAUCCGAAACACCAUUUUCGUAUUGAAUUGCAAACACUUCUUUGUGCGUUGUUUCUUCUCUGCAGCUUUACCAUUUCAUCAGAUACAACCUCAUGGUUGAGUUUUACAGAACAGGUCUGAAUUGGAAAAAAUAGAUUAUUAAUACUGGGAUCUGUUAUGCUAAAUAUAUGUGUUAAUAAUCUGUGUUCUAUUAUGCUUAUCUUCUGUGGGUUUUGGCUAGUUUUCAAGGUCCCAAAUAUCAAUGAGUUUUUUAGUAAGCAUGGAGUAGGUUACUAUAUUAGGGAUAGAAUGGCUAAAUGGGUGAGACCAAGGAAAUGCACUGAAAGCUGUUGUCUGUGGAGUUGUAAAUAGUUCCCAGCAGACAUGUUGCUGCUUACUCUGCUAAGGCUCAAUGAAGCAAAAAGCACUGGGCCAAGAGAAGCAGAUUGUUUUAUUUGCUUGAAUUCAUGGGUGGCCCUUACUGCUCUAGGUCAGUUAUUAAUGAGGAAAAGAAGGUUAAUGGAAAUAGGAGGUGCUGACAGUCAAACAUUUAUCUUUCUGUGGAACCCAUGUAAUACCAGAUAAAAAUAGUACUCAUAUGCUGAUUACAAAGUGAGAUGCUUUUCAAACAUGUCUGAAUUUAACCAGACUUUUUUAGUAUAUGAUACAAAGAGAGUGUAUCUACAAUAAAUAAUAGCAAUACACACAAUGCAUUAAUGUGACUGCCUAAUUUCUCUAGCUAUAAUUAAACUCUAGAGAUGGCUCAACAUCCAGCCUGAUGCUGUUUCUGAAAAAGCUACUGUUGCUCUUCUCAUACAGGAUAUCCAAGCUUGAGGGGUGAAUUUCUUCCCCAUUCCAUUCCUUGCUUGUUCUGUAAGCAAGCCAAGGCAGUGCCUGGACUCCGGUGAAAAGCAUUCUUCUUUAUCUGCCAAUUUCUUUUGUCUGCUUUAUUGAAAAAGCGGCACCACCAGAAUGCAGGCAAAGAAGGAUCACGUUAAAUAGCAGGAGAUGGGGUGGCACUACAGGGCUGG